GAUGCGCUGGCCGUCGCGGAUGAGGCGGGUGGCGUUCUCGACGCCGACGACGGCGGGCAGGCCGUACUCGCGGGCGAUCACGGCGCCGUGCGUCA
rnacentral:tRNA from 1 species